UCACAUUGAGAAUAAAUGAGUUAAAAACUGAUUAAUGUGUCUUUCAGAGGCUUUAUAUGGAGUUAUGAUGAACAUAAGAUGCAUUUCAAACUGUUCUGAGACCAGUGCAGACAGACAGCACACUGGAGGUUAAGUCAUGCACUAAAUAGGGAGCAAGGGAGCAUCCUAUAGCUCUCCUAUAACUGUUCUGAGACCAGUGCAGACAGACAGCACACUGGAGGUUAAGUCAUGCACUAAAUAGGGAGCAAGGGAGCAUCCUAUAGCUCUCUAUAACUGUUCUGAGACCAGUGCAGACAGACAGCACACUGGAGGUUAAGUCAUGCACUAAAUAGGGAGCAAGGGAGCAUCCUAUAGCUCUCCUAUAACUGUUCUGAGACCAGUGCAGACAGACAGCACACUGGAGGUUAAGUCAUGCACUAAAUAGGAAGCAAGGGAGCAUCCUAUAGCUCUCCUAUAACUGUUCUGAGACCAGUGCAGACAGACAGCACACUGGAAGUUAAGUCAUGCACUAAAUAGGGAGCAAGGGAGCAUCCUAUAACUCUCCUAUAACUGUUCUGAGACCAGUGCAGACAGACAGCACACUGGGGGUAAAGUCAUGCACUAAAUAGGGAGCAAGGGAGCAUCCUAUAGCUCUCUAUAACUGUUCUGAGACCAGUGCAGACAGACAGCACACUGGAGGUUAAGUCAUGCACUAAAUAGGGACCAAGGGAGCAUCCUAUAGCUCUCCUAUAACUGUUCUGAGACCAGUGCAGACAGACAGCACACUGGAGGUUAAGUCAUGCACUAAAUAGGAAGCAAGGGAGCAUCCUAUAGCUCUCCUAUAACUGUUCUGAGACCAGUGCAGACAGACAGCACACUGGAAGUUAAGUCAUGCACUAAAUAGGGAGCAAGGGAGCAUCCUAUAACUCUCCUAUAACUGUUCUGAGACCAGUGCAGACAGACAGCACACUGGGGGUAAAGUCAUGCACUAAAUAGGGAGCAAGGGAGCAUCCUAUAGCUCUCUAUAACUGUUCUGAGACCAGUGCAGACAGACAGCACACUGGAGGUUAAGUUGUUCACUAAAUAGGGACCAAGGGAGCAUCCUAUAGCUCUCUAUAACUGUUCUGAGACCAGUGCAGACAGACAGCACACUGGAGGUUAAGUCAUGCACUAAAUAGGGACCAAGGGAGCAUCCUAUAUCUCUCCUAUAACUGUUCUGAGACCAGUGCAGACAGACAGCACACUGGAGGUUAAGUCAUGCACUAAAUAGGGACCAAGGGAGCAUCCUAUAUCUCUCCUAUAACUGUUCUGAGACCAGUGCAGACAGACAGCACACUGGAGGUUAAGUCAUGCACUAAAUAGGGACCAAGGGAGCAUCCUAUAGCUCUCUAUAACUGUUCUGAGACCAGUGCAGACAGACAGCACACUGGAGGUUAAGUCAUGCACUAAAUAGGAAGCAAGGGAGCAUCCUAUAGCUCUCCUAUAACUGUUCUGAGACCAGUGCAGACAGACAGCACACUGGAAGUUAAGUCAUGCACUAAAUAGGGAGCAAGGGAGCAUCCUAUAACUCUCCUAUAACUGUUCUGAGACCAGUGCAGACAGACAGCACACUGGGGGUAAAGUCAUGCACUAAAUAGGGAGCAAGGGAGCAUCCUAUAGCUCUCUAUAACUGUUCUGAGACCAGUGCAGACAGACAGCACACUGGAGGUUAAGUUGUUCACUAAAUAGGGACCAAGGGAGCAUCCUAUAGCUCUCUAUAACUGUUCUGAGACCAGUGCAGACAGACAGCACACUGGAGGUUAAGUCAUGCACUAAAUAGGGACCAAGGGAGCAUCCUAUAGCUCUCCUAUAACUGUUCUGAGACCAGUGCAGACAGACAGCACACUGGAGGUUAAGUCAUGCACUAAAUAGGAAGCAAGGGAGCAUCCUAUAGCUCUCCUAUAACUGUUCUGAGACCAGUGCAGACAGACAGCACACUGGAAGUUAAGUCAUGCACUAAAUAGGGAGCAAGGGAGCAUCCUAUAACUCUCCUAUAACUGUUCUGAGACCAGUGCAGACAGACAGCACACUGGGGGUAAAGUCAUGCACUAAAUAGGGAGCAAGGGAGCAUCCUAUAGCUCUCUAUAACUGUUCUGAGACCAGUGCAGACAGACAGCACACUGGAGGUUAAGUUGUUCACUAAAUAGGGACCAAGGGAGCAUCCUAUAGCUCUCUAUAACUGUUCUGAGACCAGUGCAGACAGACAGCACACUGGAGGUUAAGUCAUGCACUAAAUAGGGACCAAGGGAGCAUCCUAUAUCUCUCCUAUAACUGUUCUGAGACCAGUGCAGACAGACAGCACACUGGAGGUUAAGUCAUGCACUAAAUAGGGACCAAGGGAGCAUCCUAUAUCUCUCCUAUAACUGUUCUGAGACCAGUGCAGACAGACAGCACACUGGAGGUUAAGUCAUGCACUAAAUAGGGACCAAGGGAGCAUCCUAUAGCUCUCUAUAACUGUUCUGAGACCAGUGCAGACAGACAGCACACUGGAGGUUAAGUCAUGCACUAAAUAGGGACCAAGGGAGCAUCCUAUAUCUCUCCUAUAACUGUUCUGAGACCAGUGCAGACAGACAGCACACUGGAGGUUAAGUCAUGCACUAAAUAGGGACCAAGGGAGCAUCCUAUAUCUCUCCUAUAACUGUUCUGAGACCAGUGCAGACAGACAGCACACUGGAGGUUAAGUCAUGCACUAAAUAGGGACCAAGGGAGCAUCCUAUAGCUCUCUAUAACUGUUCUGAGACCAGUGCAGACAGACAGCACACUGGAGGUUAAGUCGUUCACUAAAUAGGGACCAAGGGAGCAUCCUAUAGCUCUCUAUAACUGUUCUGAGACCAGUGCAGACAGACAGCACACUGGAGGUUAAGUCAUGCACUAAAUAGGGACCAAGGGAGCAUCCUAUAGCUCUCUAUAACUGUUCUGAGACCAGUGCAGACAGACAGCACACUGGAGGUUAAGUCGUUCACUAAAUAGGGAGCAAGGGAGCAUCCUAUAUCUCUCCUAUAACUGUUCUGAGACCAGUGCAGACAGACAGCACACUGGAGGUUAAGUCAUGCACUAAAUAGGGAGCAAGGGAGCAUCCUAUAGCUCUCUAUAACUGUUCUGAGACCAGUGCAGACAG